CGGGGUGAGUAACGCGUGGAUAACCUGCCUCACACUGGGGGAUAACAGUUAGAAAUGACUGCUAAUACCGCAUGAGCGCACAGUACCGCAUGGUACGGUGUGAAAAACUACCGGUGGUGUGAGAUGGAUCCGCGUCUGAUUAGCCAGUUGGCGGGGUAACGGCCCACCAAAGCGACGAUCAGUAGCCGACCUGAGAGGGUGACCGGCCACAUUGGGACUGAGACACGGCCCAA
rnacentral:rRNA from 1 species